rnacentral:rRNA from 1 species
CGGGGAGUAGCAAUACUUCGCCGGCGACCGGCGCACGGGUGAGUAACACGUGUGCAACCAACCCCGUACCGGGAGAUAACCCGCGGAAACGUGGACUAACAUCCCAUGACACCUUUUCCCCGCAUGGGGGAGAGUUUAAAACCCCGGUGGUACGGGACGGGCACGCGCGACAUUAGGUAGUUGGCGGGGUAAGGGCCCACCAAGCCGACGAUGUCUAGGGGUUCUGAGAGGAAGGUCCCCCACACUGGAACUGAGACACGGUCCAG